rnacentral:tRNA from 1 species
UGCCUCGUGGCCUAAUGGUAUGGCGGCUGACUCUGGAUCAGUAGGUUCCAGGUUCGAAUCCUGGCGAGGCAG